GUGCUUGCUUUGGCAGCACAUACGCUAAAAUUGGAACGAUACAGAGAUUAGCAUGGCCCCUGCACAAGGAUGACACGCAAAUUCAUGAAGCAUUCCAUAUUUUA
ensembl:snRNA U6 U6 spliceosomal RNA